rnacentral:rRNA from 2 species
CGGGGAGGGUUCAUUGGAAACUGGGGAACUUGAGUGCAGAAGAGGAGAGUGGAAUUUCCACGUGUAGCGGUGAAAUGCGUAGAGAUGUGGAGGAACACCAGUGGCGAAGGCGACUCUCUGGUCUGUAACUGACGCUGAGGCGCGAAAGCGUGGGGAGCGAACAGGAUUAGAUACCCUGGUAGUCCACGCCGUACACGAUGAGUGCUAAGUGUUAGAGGGUUUCCGCCCUUUAGUGCUGCACCAUACGCAUUAGGCACUCCCCCCGGGGAGUACGGUCGCAAGACUGAAACUCAAAGGAAUUGACGGGGGCCCGCACAAGCGGUGGAGCAUGUGGUUUAAUUCGAACCAGCGCAAACAANCUUACCAGGUCUUGACAUCCUCUGACGACCGUACACAUUUGGCUUCCCCUUC